AGGUAUUUCUGACCACAUAAUUUGCUGACUACAAAAAACUUAAGCCUUUAAAAACGAAUCAGGCAGCUUUAUUCUAAAUUUGAAUUCAUGACGCAAGGGAAGAUCAAAUAUUUCAACAAAUAUCUCCUAUAUUUUGGCUCAUUUUAUUGACUUGUUGACCUCACCCAAACAUUACUUGUUGUAUGCUGGUUAAUUAAUCUAAUUAGGAUGUUUGUUUUCUAAAUUUUGCAACAUCUCGCUGAAACACCAAGCCUGCAAUGAUGAAAAGCUCGCUUGAAGUGUGAUUGAGAAAUCAGGUUCUCUAGACUGUUCUUUAGUAGAGUAAAAUACAUGCAUCAGUGAAAUCAACUCUCAGUCGAGUAAAGAAUACUAAAGAUACCCUGCAUCAUGGAAUAGUAAUACGGCUGAUUUUGAUAAUGAUAAUGAGUGCCACGUUAGUCAAGUGUUGUGUAAAACCAAACUACAACAAAAAAUUAUUUAACAAAAAUGCUAUUCAAAGUAUCGUUGGUUUUGUGCCUUGUUCAUGUCGUGCUUGGCCGGGUAUCACAGUCAGGAUACUGGAAAAAAAUCGCCUCUGAUCAAUGUGUUGGGGCCAGGAACAACAACUAUAGAGAGUUUGGGUACUAUGGGUCAAACACUUUCAUUACUGCAAUGAAAUUAGUGCACAAGAAAGGCAGAGUUGGGUGCUCUCGCAGACGUUAUGCCCGCUGGGGUUGCGAUAGAAGAAAUCCCACAAGUAUUAUCGUCACAGGUAACAACUUCAUACUCCUUAGGCAUCUGAUAUAUUGAUGUUCGUAAAGGUCAGAUGUUCUUAAUACAGUGGCGAAUCCAGGGUAAGGCGAAAUAUAUCACCACAGCUAUAAGUUGCAACACAAGUAAAAUUAAACUAAUGUCAGUAUUAUGUUAAACUGAUAACUGUCACGGAAGAAGCUGUGGGGAAGCUGUUCCUUUUCCUGCUGCAAAGUACUGUAUACUCACAUACUGUCAAUAAAGAACACGAUGAAAGUAAAUUCUUUGAUGAAAUUGAAUGUCGAUCUUUAGAUACAAGAAAUAGACGCAUGUACCCCCAUCCGUCUUUGGUUCGCCUGCAAAAAGCUGGAAAAUAUGAUCUCCCUGGCUACGGAUUGUAUUCUCGACAGCUCGUCUUCUCUGAUCCAGGAUUUCACUAUUUGUAUUACGGCCAAAGAAUGAGGAUUUGGUACGGAGAAGACUUGUUCAACUACACAGAAAAGGACAACCACGGUUUUACAUGCAUGGAUGUUUAUGUUUUUAUUCCAACGUGGUCUUGA